rnacentral:rRNA from 1 species
AUUGAACGCUGGCGGCAGGCCUAACACAUGCAAGUCGAGCGGAUGAAGGGAGCUUGCUCCUGGAUUCAGCGGCGGACGGGUGAGUAAUGCCUAGGAAUCUGCCUGGUAGCGGGGGAUAACGUCCGGAAACGGGCGCUAAUACCGCAUACGUCCUGAGGGAGAAAGUGGGGGAUCUUCGGACCUCACGCUAUCAGAUGAGCCUAGGUCGGAUUGGCUAGUUGGUGGGGUAAAGGCCUACCAAGGCGACGAUCCGUAACUGGUCUGAGAGGAUGAUCAGUCACACUGGAACUGAGACACGGUCCAGACUCCUACGGGAGGCAGCAGUGGGGAAUAUUGGACAAUGGGCGAAGGCCUGAUCCAGCCAUGCCGCGUGUGUGAAGAAGGUCUUCGGAUUGUAAAGCACUUUAAGUUGGGAGGAAGGGCAGUAAGUUAAUACCUUGCUGUUUUGACGUUACCAACAGAAUAAGCACCGGCUAACUUCGUG